GAGAGAGAAGAAAAAAAAAAAAAAUGUAGCCAGCCUAGCAACAUAGGGAGAAAAGCAAAUAAAAAGAAAGGCACUUCACCCUUUACAUAAAAAGCUUUUUCCCGAAGAAAAGUAGUGUGGUGGUCGGGGUUGUCAGAAAAGGCAAAAAGGCACAAGUACUUUAAAAACGAUGGCAUAAUGGGGCUGCUGCUAAUAUUUAGAAAGACAGAGAAUUAUGGGAGUUGAGCUGCAGAGAAAAUGGCUCAAGGUUCUAUUUUCAGCUUUCCAACAGGUCAGAGGUAGCUAAUGAGGGCUGUCGGCAGGGCGGCUGUCACGAUUCUGGCUGAACUGGCUGUAUGAGCUUCCUGUACUAAAAGCAGAGCCCAGCGGAGCCUUCUCAGAGUGGAAGCAGCAGGUAAGCUCCAGAUCUGCAGUUGAGAGGCCACGUUCUUCCUGGUUCUGCAGAUUAAACUGCUCAUCCUUGGGAAGACCAACUCACCCCUCCAUCCUUACCUAACCGUUACAAGGCUUUACCAGGGUCACCGCAUGUCUGUUACCGCAUACCACGGCACUCGUCUGUGGUCCCUGGGAAUUGGGAGACCUGGAAGAGAUUAGUAUAUAUUUCUCCAGCAAUGACAUAAUCUGUGAGAUCCUGGAGCAAGAUUCUGCUGUUGGAAGGAAUUUCCUGAUGAGAGUGAGGGAGCACAAGUUUGUGGUCCUUGAAAUCAAGAAACGAAACUUCUCUCUUCAGCUCCUUGUAGAAUAAGCCCCCAAAUCCUGCUUGCUGAAUAAGUCAAUGAACCACAGCACUGAAGUUUGGCUUCAUCUAUUUCAAGUGCCUUGAGCCCAUGGAGCGAUACCUGUAUGGACCUGCCAAUAGUCUUUCAAGGCACCACCUGGGCUCCUUACAGUGAUGGGCACGCCAGCAGGGUUUGGUGUUUCCUUCGGAGAAUGGACACAGUCAUCUCUCAUCUAUUUCACGUGGAUUAGCUUCUCUGAAAGGCCAUUUUCCAACAUUGCUUCCUUCAUCUUGUGGAUGCCACCCUACUCCUGGACCCCACCAGUGUCACCCAUUUGGGAAUUAGCUGCUCCACCAUGAAUUACAAACCCUUCAAAGACUUGAGGACAGUACCCGGAAGCGUAAAGACUCCAACACACAGCCCGAGGAACAAGGACCUUUCUGAAGCUCCUCUGGUGGCAUCUUACUUGGAUCACUCCUUGACCCCACAUUCUCUCAGCAAAUUGUGACCAUAAGCUGCUGCGGGUUCUUACAAGUGUUUGUCAGAAAUCACCAGUGCUGCAUUUCUGAACUGUCCGUCCUGGCCUUGUCAGUGUUGUCACCAAUGUCACCUUUCUCUGCGAUCUGGAAAAGUUUUCUUCUUUGACCAAAAGCAUGAUGUGGGCCUUGGGAAUAUCAGGUUCCACCUGAAAACUAAAUCGACAAGUUAUUGGCACCAGUGAACAAAUGAAGAGAGCAGAAAACCUUUCUUCUGAAGCAGCCAAACAAGUAACCGGCUCCACAUGAGGUGAGAAGCCUUCCAGGAGAGGGCGCCAGGGUGAGGAUCAGAAUGAUGGGAGACGUCUUUGUGUCACAUCACUGAACAUACCCCAUCAACGGUCAUGGCCACAAGCUGGGCGGAUCUCAGCUUGCUGCACAGUCUGUGUGAAGUUCAGGAAAUAACAAACGUGGAAGGAGAUCACACAAACCCCCACCUGAUGUGAUGGAGCGGCAGCCCUUAUGUUCAAAGAAUCAUCAGUCCAAAGGAGUCUUCAGCAGGCAAACAGUCACCACGUGGGAGUCUUGUGCUGUGCACCGUGCAGUCCCAGAUGGCCAAGAGCUGUGGCCGACAGCAGAUCUGAGGGGCAGGUGACAAAGCCUAUGUGUUUCCACAGUGACUACCCCGGGGUGGUUGAAGUUUUCACCCAUGUCAAAAAGCUCCAGAUUGAAUUCUGCUAAAAUAUAAAUAUGGAAUUUGCCUUCAAGCAAAGAGAAAUGUAACGAUGUUUUUAAAGAGAGAUUAAUACAGUCAAUUUAAAUCUCUGGGAAGCUUUCACCUGACAUGAUUUAUUUGUGGACAUUAUGAUAACACGUAAAAUUAAGCGCCUAGUCAAUUUCAGGUGAGUCUGACAUAAAAAGUAAAAUCACUCUUUCAUUAGCUUUCUCUUGAUCUCAGGUUUCUAUCUAAGGGGAUGUUAGCUCUAAAUUCUUCAUUUCUAAGCACUGCCCUGAGCUGUCCUCCCCUGCACGGUCUCAGGAAAUGGCUCCUCAUGCCCCCAACCCUGCAGCCCGGCCGAAGCAUUGGAUUCUUACCCUUUGCACAGUUCAGAUACACCCAUUUGAGCACACGCUCGGUGGAACGCCAACUUAAAGUACCAAAUUUAUGUUAGUUAUUUCAGGAAGAGAAUAUCAGCUGUUUCAAAUUCUAGACUCCAGCCUGGGCUAAACGAGAACUGUCAUGUCGUCUAUGGUGUAUUCAUUUUUCCUCAAAAAUAACAUCAGUCUGGGAGGAACAUAGUGAGUGUCCAACAAUGUAGAAUCAAGGUCUAUAAACAGUAAGAGGAAGACCAAAGCGUCAGAUUACAAACAUUUCCCAGAACCCUCAGCUGGCAGACAGCUCUCGAUGCAGUGAGUCUUUUCUUUCCUUUCUGCCCCAUACAUACAUUAAUGCCGAUCUUAGAAGCUCAUUGUCACACCCUUUGUGGCAGAGAACCAUAUAAUUAGAGGGUUCCCAUUGCUAAGGCAUUUGAAAAGACCAGGAGAAAUUAGCUUUAGCAUAACUAGUCUCUGCCACUCCUUCUGAACUCAAGGGCAACGUGUGCAUCUUACAUCUGUCCUCUAGGGGCUGGCUUGUGCUUGCUCCCUUCUCUUUGGCAGUGACUUUAAAUAACCAAGUUCUUAUUAUAAUCUUUGGAUUUAAAAUUAAGUUCUGAUGGUUUCUUCUCAGGGCACACCUAGGAGGCCCUGUUUAUCCCCAGCCAAAUCAGCUGCUUCCCCAAGUGACCCAUUCUUGGAAAUGUUAUUAUUCCUAAUAACCAACUCAAAUAUAUAUUUUCAUUUAAUCUUUCCCUUUACCUCCACUUCACAUGCGUUGCUGCCUGCCACACAGUUUCCAUGAGGAUUGGCCUUGAUAUCAUUAUGUGAAGGAUGAAUUUGUGUUUGUUUUAAUUAAAAAAUUACUUCUACUUAGAUGUUGACUGAGCUUGGAGUUGUUCUCUAUGGCCUGGAGGUUUUAGGGUAAGAUUAGUGUGAGGACGUGUGUGAGAGUGUGUGUGUGUGUGUGUGUGUUUGGAAGGGUCUCCUGUUCUGUUAAGGAAUUCAUUGUCUAUUUCUUCUCAUGGAACACAAAUUGGUUUAGGCAAGUGGAAACUGAGAAGAGAUUCCCAAAGAUGUUUUCUGUGCGCAAAGCAUAAGCUAUCCAUCUGGGUACAAAGGGCAAGGAUGCAUCAAGAUGACCUCUCCUGGCCCCUGUGACCAACAUGCAGGAGUCUAGGAGAUGCAUUCGAAGGAAAAAACAAACAAACAAAAACCAAAAGGCAAGACUGCAGCUUCCACCGGGGAACUUCCAUAAACUACAGGAACAGACAGAGAUAUUCUGUAGUACUUUAUAACAAUAGGUCCUUUGGUGCCGAACACAGCUUUUAUUGCUCCUGUUUUAUGUCCUACAAAUAGUAGCAGACAUUCUCCUUUUCUGUCCAGCACAGAAAGCCCCUGGCCCAGACAAGAAGCAACUCUGCACUGCUUUUCAGACAUCAUUCUCCCUCUCAACUAUAGAAACUCUUUGGUUUCUAUUAUAUUUCUGGCCUUUCACAUUCCCGAUGGUUCAUUUGAUGAAACCCAGUUGCCAGGUGUAUGAAUGUGGUUGAAAAGACCCACGCAGGACCAGCGACACCUUCCCACAGCAUGGGAUGGUCCCCUCCCUGAGAUGCCCAACUGCCAGCAGGACUGGUACUGAGUUGUUUUCCCAACUGAGGGUCAUAUGACCCUCUAGUGCUUUUUGUCCUGGUCCCUUUUUAAGUAACCGCACAUAUUGCGUGCUCUCUGGCCAGCGUCCCUGACUGAGGGCAGAGUUCUCCUGUGUAGACUUUUCCACAAUCGACAUUGGCUCUGAGCUUUAGGAAUGGACCAAGGACGGCCACCAUUUUUCCUGUUUACAAUGCGAUUGUCCAGGCAUGAACUUCAGAAAACAUGUGUGGGAUUCUGGAAUAGGCUGGGCAGCUUUGUAGCCCAUUCUCUGGUCCUGGACCAGACGCCAAGCACUGCAUCCUGUCCGCUCCUGUAAUAGCCGUUUCGUUGUUUGCUCAGCAAUUCUGCUGCGUCUGCAGAUUGCCUUGUCUGAGAAGCAGCCCUGAGAAGUUGAGGAUGGUGACAAUCUUUAAAGAAACAUGGAAGUCAAUGGUAGAGGCGGAUGACCGCGAGACCUUUUAUUUUGCUUAAAAACCAGAGAAACAUCAAGCUAUAAUGAUGCAGAUUCAGCAGUUUUAAGAACAGAACUUCUUGUAAGUUCAAAGUACCAUAUAAACUAUACCAUGUAUCAGUUCUUUCAAGGGCAGCAGAAUUUUAACUGAAUCUGCUUGGAAAAAUGCAUAUUUGGUGAAGAAAAAAAUACUCUGAGUUUUAGGAGCACUGAUACUCAUUCACAUAAAACAUGGAAAGUCAGAAAGAUUGAUCUUGACGUGUAUCACAGUCCUGGUCAGGACCGGAGAGAUGGCAUCUCAGGGUCUUUACAGCUCUCUGAUCUAUGCAGAAGUGAACAUGAUUUUUAGGCUAUUCUUCCUUAUUUCUUGUUUUAGAGUAUUCCUCAUCUCUUCUUUAGACCCAGGAGAAGGUUUCCUGUGGGAGAUAGUUAUAGAAAAUUACGUAACAGAUGAGUACCCUAAGAAGGGAUUUGGAAGAAGAGACAGGAAAGCUGACACUGUCUUGUGAGCCAGAAAAAUCAUGGGAACUUGUACAGGUUACAGGUAUCCCCCACUUCUCGAAAGUUUGCUUUGUGCCGCUUCGCUUUUACAAAAGACUUAACAUUAGUGCCUGUAUUCUCUGCAGAGGAUUUUCACUUUUACAAAAAAAAAAGCAAAAAGUGAAAAUAACGUUCAGCAUUUGUUUCGCUGAGUGGUUACAGAGGCAGCGUGCACCCCCAGCGGUCAGCGCGGCACCGCCAAGCUCCUUCCCCGGGAACUACGCUCGGCAUCGCUUUGAACCGUGUCUGUGAGCAUCUAUGCCGGUCUCAAUUAUUUUGUGCCUCCAUUAGCAAGGCAGGUCCUAAGGUAAUUGCUUCUUUGCUUUGCAUCAUUUUGGCUUCAGAAAUGUUUUGUGCGAAUGCUCUGCUUUCGGACAGUGCAUACCCCUGCACCUGUGCACUAAGCACCUACCAGGGUUUCACCUCACUCUUCCCCCGACCCCUGCGAAGCAAAGCAUAUCAUUGCAGAUGUGGAACCAGGACUUCAAGAGGUGAGUAAAUGGCAGAGCUUGGAUGAACCAAAGAGCCACCCUCCAGCAACCUCACUUGGGCUACUGUCCUGCGCUAGUGUGUGGCUGAAGGUUGGUGCCUUGACUUUGUGGAUGACCCACUUGAAUCUCCCACAGCAAGAGGAACUUAGUAAGAAGGUAGAUGCUAACUUUAUGGCCUUGAAUUAAAUAUACUGUAGUACUUGGACAGAAAUUACGCCCUCCUGCUUCUUUUUUUUUUUUUUUUAAAUAAUUGGAGGGGAGAAUGGAGAAGAGAAGAUGAUUGGGCACCUUUGAUGCUAAAACAGGACAUUAAAAUGGGCAUUCUGGCUGAAAUCCUAUGACGAUGGAUAUAAGACACCAAGUGAGGCACCAGACCAAGAUGAGCACAUUCAAAGCAGGUAGCUGUGAACUGGCUGGGAUUCCCCUUCCCCCACAUGGAGUGGCGAUGAAGGGAAAGGAUUUUAUUUUUGAUAUGCUACAAGUCCCUGUGCCACCCCCCAACCACCACCACGAGAAAGGGGUGAGAGGUGGCUCUCCUUCACCCUAAAACAAAUGGAGGGGUUUUGAUCCCACUCAGUGAGCUUGAUGUCAGUCCUACUAGCUGGGUGGACAAGGGUCUGAGUUGCACCUGAAGAAACAUAAAGCUGGCUUCCUGCUCUGGUGGUGGGAGAGAAGGAGGGGCUGCUACGGCCCUGGGCAUGUCCUCUCAGCAUCUGUGGAAGCAAUGGAUGCAUGAGCGGCCCCAGGGCCAGAUGCAGCCACACCACUCAGAAAGGCUUGGCAUUUCAGACCCUGUCCCAGAGAGGCCAUUAGAAAAAGGGACAGAUUCACAUGAUGGUCACACGUGUUUACUCACCUAGUGACAGUUCAAGUGGUACACUUAUAUGUAUGUUAUAUUCAAUAAAAACUGCUUUUAAGAAAAAAGUGAAGAAGCCUCAUCAGAGAGAGUUUUGGAGCAUUGCUGGAUUCCACCAGGCGGCAGAAAGAGUAAGCAAAAAGUUGGAGGAGAACACAUCAGUGACACUAAUGGAAUUUCAGGUUAGUGGUCCUCAGCAACGAGAGAAAUUUCAAAAGAACUCGUGGAAUGUCUCUAGGAGGGAGAGCCAGCUUGGAACACUGGCAGGGUCUGGAGAGCCCUCAACCUGCUCUCGACAGCUCACACCUCCCUCCCUGCUUGCUCUCCAGCACUGGAGGAAUCAGAAACCUGGGGAUAGCAAGUUAGGCAAGAGUGACUGGGAGAAAAAGGGGAAUGUGACAGCACCACCCCCUUCCCUGACUGUGGCUCGCCCCCCUCUCCACAGCAGAUCUAGCUAAAGAGGGGUAAGUUCUCCAAACUUUGAAUGAAGUUGGAAGAUUUUACUGAUAUGUGUAUUUGGAAUUUUAAGUACAAAUUGAAACCGUGUUUUGGGAUACAAAUGAUUGAGAUUUUCUAAAACAUUAGAGUGACCAAAAAGUCAGGUUUUCUUCAAGGGACAGGAAAAAACCAACCUGGUCUUCCUGCAAGAGGUAAAAGACAUGGGAGUAAUGAGCUGUAAUGGGAAAGAGUCUGAAAAAAAUUAUAUGUGUAUAUAUAUGUAUGUGUAGAACUGAAUCGCUUUGCUGUAUACCUGAAACUAACAUUGUAAAUUGACUACACUUCAAUAAAAAAAAAAGAAUUAAAAUUUACAAAAGACAAUGGGAGAAGAAAAUACGCUCCUUUAUUCUUAUACCCAAGAUACCCAUUUGUUCAGUUUACUGAUUGUAGUACGGUAGUUUACAAGGAAGGCUCUGUGCUAUUACUCUAGGGUAGUAGACAGCAGAAGCUGGUAACUGUAAAUGCAAGGCUAUCCAACAGAAAUAUAACGCAAAUCGUGUAUGUGACUUAAAAUUUUCUGGUAGCCAUAUUGAAGAAGUCAAAUAAACAGGUGAAAUUCAUUUUAAAAAUAUAUUUUUGCUUAGCCUAAUAUAUCUAAAAUGUUAUCAGUUCAAUGUGUAAUUAAUAUUAAAAAGUUUAAUGAGAUAUUUCACAUUCCUUUCUAAUUUUUUAAUUAAUUUAAAAUUUUUACUUUGUAUUACUACUGUAGAUUGUUUAUUAAUUAUGUCUGUUGACAGAAUGAAGCAAAAAGGUAGAAAUUCACAUAAUUUCAUAGCCUCACUAGCAAGUAAUGAAAUAAAUUAAAACACAGGUAAAACUCCAUUACAUCUCUAUUAAAUCAGAAAAAUCUUUAAAAUGACAAACAUUGCUUCAAACAAGAAACAUUUAAAAAUCUUUCCAAACGAUCAUAUGGCCAACUACUGCAAGUGUUAUCAAAAUAGUUCACAUUCUAGAACCAUUUUAGGAAAAACAGUAGAAGAAAUAUGUGUAUGGGGAGGUGAUGGAAAUAUACUUACACUUACUUUUUGAAAUCCGGGUAUAUUUUGCAUGUUUAGCACAUCUCAAUUUGGAGUAGCCCCACUUAAAAUGCUCAGUAGUCACAUGUGGCUAGCGGCUGCCAAAUCUGACCAUGCAGUUACAGCAUCUCUGAUGAGGUGGAAAAUGAUCUCAGACAAUGCUAGGACUCCAGGCUUGACGGAGGAAGAGGUGGAAGCAGUGUCUCCAAAGUGAGCAAGAGGAUGAUUUAAGAUUCUGCUUUCACUUAUUUUAGGUUUGAUGAGAUGGAUAUUGGGCAGAGAAGUAAUGGGAGGUGGAGGAGAGGCUGAAAGAGUCCUGCUUGGGCUGUGACGCCACCAUCCACAUUGUCAUCGGAAACUGAUCUGAACCAGCCAGUAAGAGAGGACGUUGAGAGAAGGCCUGAUCCCAGGAAGUAAAAAUAAAUUCAGCUCACUUUUCUGAAGUAAUAACUACUGAGUUGAAGUGUACACUUCAAAAUAAGCAUAAUGUGCUCCUGUUACUGGUCUUUGCACAAACGGGCAUGCUUGUCUGAAAUAAGAAGUGUCCAGCACUGUGCUUAGCCCUAUCCGUGAGGAAAGAGAAAGUUCUUCUUGCGAUGGUGACGUGGCUGCAAGUGAUGCCGUGAUGGUCAGUCACAUGGAAGCCAGAACUAUGGGAUGUCUCUGAUGAGAAGAUGGGGCAGAGGACCAGAGCAGGACCCAAGGUACAGGAAUGAAGGGUGGUGUGGCCAGGAGAAGAGCAGCGGGAGAGAAAGAAGGGGAGGUCAAAGGACUUGGAGGAUGACAACACUGACUGACCAUCUGUGCGGGCAAUGAGAAAUUGGAACAAUGUUCAUUUUGGUGGACGGGUAAAGGAAAUAUAGGAGAAAAAUGCAGGGGAUGCAGGAUAACCUUAAUAAUAUAAGGAGCUAGACUAAGGGAAAGUCAAAAAGAAAAAGAAAGCAACAUAAUUGGCUUGGGAUAGAUGUCUGAAAGUCACCAAAAAUUAUUUAGAACUUUCGUGGUUUUGGUGGCCAUUUUGAAUGUAAGGAAUUCAGAGAGCUUGUAAACCAGUGCCAUCCAAUAGAAAUACAACGCAAGCCACAUGUGUCAUUUAAAGUUUUCUGGUAGCUACAUUCAAAAAAUAUAAACAGGCGAAGUUAAUUUUGAUGAUACAUUUUAUUUAAAACAAGAUGUCUAAAAUAUUAACAUUUCAACAAGUAAUCAAUAUAAAAGCAUUAAUGAGAGGGUCCACGUUCCUUUUCUCAUACUAAAGUAUGCCUUCAAAUCUGGUGUGCAUUUGGCACUUCUGUUCAUCUCAAUUAGGACUGGCCACAUUACAAGCACUCAACAGCCACAUGUGGUUGGUGGCAUAUUAUAUUGGAUAGUGUAGUUCUGGACAACUUCCUUCUGAAUCAUCACAGCUUUGCCCUUUAUUUAAUAAACUUGUAAAAAUGUAAAAAAUGUAUGUUUUUUUAAUGAAAUUUCAAAACCAGCCAAAUUAAAAAAAAAUUACUCAGAGAUAUAAGAGUGUGAUCGAAUUAGAACAAAAUGCAAGGGGAUGAUUAUUACAAAAGUAAGGAUAAUAGUUCCUUUAUUCCAUGGGAAAUACUUGAUAAUAGAAUUAGAAAAAAAGUAAAGGAGAAGAAAAUGAAAAUCCCCCCAAA